AACUUCCCAACAUUUUUCAGAGCCUAUUGCUUAUUCAUUCAGAGCAGGAGCAAAGCCGUCCAGUCAACAGGAAUGAGCAAGCGGGAUGAAGUGACGUCCCCUGCAACGGGCAGAGCAGCAAUGUGAAGAAACAGCAACAAACAAACAACAGCAAAUAUCCAAAGAGAAAGGGGGGGAAGUUCCAGAUUCUUUGGAGUUCUACGGAGCCUCAUUCCUCUCUCUCUCUCUCUCUCCCCCCUCCAACAAGCUCAAUAUGAAGCUUGCGGGAGACCCCCAGAGCAGCUUCAAACAAGCCAGGAAUGGACAAAGUUGAGAUUAAUUCACCUAAGGAAGACGAAAAGGCAGUGGAGGAAGAGACAAGGCAAGCUGCCACAACCGAACGUCCAGGGUGCUCUUCUGCAAUUCCCUCCCAGAAAGAACAUCCGUCGAGGUUGUCGACCCCUUGCAUCUUGGCUUCACCAUGACCUCUCUUGGCUUCUGGGACCUGUGGGCUUUGAUGGGCUUUGGGGCUCUUCUGCUGGUCCGGGGGCAACAUCCACAGGGCAGCCACGCAGACAACGGACGCUGGAGGCAGAUGAUCCAGUGGGAGAACAAUGGCCGGGUGUACAGCCUCCUGAACUCAGGCUCGGAGUACAUCCCUGCCAGCCAGGUGAGGGCAGACAGCAGCGCAAGGGUCAUGCUGGCCGAUGCUGCCACAAGCCAGGGUCAAAGGGUUCCGGGGAACACUCGGCGACAGGCCCCCAACUUGCCAAUCCGGGCAGGAUCUGAUACCAUCCGGGGACAGACACGGCAUCCAUUUGGCUUUGGACAGGUCCCAGACAACUGGAGGGAUGGAACCACUGGGGACAGUAGCUCCAACUCCCAACGUCCCCACUCACCCACCAUUCGGCAGCGUCAGGUUGGCUCCUCUUCCUCCUCCUUUGCACAUUCCUCAUUUGGACAGCUCUACCCCCAGGCCUCUUUCCCUCAGCCUCAGCCACCUUUUGCCAACCAAUAUGAGACCUAUGACCCACAGGUUCCCCGCCCGUAUGACGAGAGCUACACCUACUAUCGCACCACCGGCACUGGAGGGGGUGUUGUCGCUGCAGCCGCAGCUAGCGCAGGAGUCAUAUAUCCUUUCCAGCCCAGGGUGAGAUAUGAGGAGUAUGCAGAGGACCAAAGUCCAUAUAGAGCUCAAGGAUACUACCCUGCACAGGAAAGACCCUACGUACCUGUCCCCCAACAGCUCCAGCCCUCCGAUGGCUUGGAUAGAAGGUACUCACACAGCCUCUAUCAUGAUACUGGCACUAGCUACGACCAAAGUGUCCAGGACCCUUAUGUGUCCACCCAGAACCAACAGUCUGUAGGACAAGGGGUUCCUGUUGCAGAUAACUUGCAUAUUAACUCUGGAUCUCCUGUGAGUGCCGGCACCAGGUACAGGAAUGAGCCAUGGGCAGGGCAGUAUCCUCCCUUUGGGGAGGUGCCAGCAGAGCCCUACGUUCCUCCCCGCAACAUGGAACCUCAGCCACCUUUCCGGCCCUUAGACCCCCAUGGGGUCCCUAGGCCUGAACCUUACCUUCCCAUCCGGAACUCUGAGCCUCCCCAACUGAUUCCAGACAGCCAAAGUGUUAGCCAAGGCCGGGUCAGCGUGGGCAGCAUCUACAGACCCAAUCAGAAUGGACGGGGCCUCCCCGACCUCGUGCCAGACCCAAACUAUGUCCAAGCUUCCACUUAUGUCCAAAGGGCCCAUCUCUACUCUCUCCGUUGCGCCGCUGAAGAGAAGUGUCUUGCAAGCACUGCCUAUACCCCCGAAGCGACAGACUACGAUGUCCGGGUGCUCCUGCGCUUCCCCCAGCGAGUGAAGAACCAAGGCACAGCAGACUUCUUGCCAAACCGGGCUCGCCACACCUGGGAGUGGCACAGCUGCCAUCAGCAUUACCACAGCAUGGAUGAAUUCAGCCACUAUGACCUGCUAGAUGCUGCCACGGGCAAGAAAGUGGCAGAGGGCCACAAAGCGAGCUUUUGCCUGGAAGACACCACCUGUGACUUCGGGAACCUAAAGCGCUACGCCUGCACAUCACACACACAGGGUCUGAGCCCUGGUUGUUAUGAUACUUACAAUGCUGACAUUGACUGCCAGUGGAUUGAUAUCACAGAUGUGCAGCCUGGGAAUUACAUCCUCAAAGUUCAGGUGAACCCGAAGUAUAUUGUGAUGGAGUCAGACUUCACCAACAACGUGGUGAGAUGCAACGUUCACUACACCGGGCGCUAUGUUGCCACUACAAACUGCAAAAUCUCCCAGGAGAUCUUAUAAAGUUUCAUCAAAGCAAGUGUUAUCCCGCGCUUUCCAGUACAUCUCCCCAUCAUUUUCCUAAUUGCAAAAAGUCCAGUCUUUCAGGGAAGUGGAUUUGUUGUGCAAGAACUCCCAAUCAACUAUAAUUGCACAACCUGAAUUUGCUGGUCUUGAUCCUAACCAAGAUGGCAGAAGCUUUACCAUCUCCCUGUCCCCAAACCCUGCAAAAUCCAAAUAUCUCUCAGGCUGGUAGCAACUCACAGAGGAAGCGGCUUGAGAGCCACCAGCAUCUACCAUGAGAGGACACCCAUUCCAUAGCUUUGUUUUGAGAACCCAAGUUAAAGAGUUGUCACUUUCAAUACUUUUAUAAAUACUUUCGUCUUUAA